rnacentral:rRNA from 1 species
AGAGUUUGAUCCUGGCUCAGAUUGAACGCUAGCGGGAUGCCUUACACAUGCAAGUCGAACGGCAGCACGGACUUCGGUCUGGUGGCGAGUGGCGAACGGGUGAGUAAUGUAUCGGAACGUGCCUAGUAGCGGGGGAUAACUACGCGAAAGCGUAGCUAAUACCGCAUACGCCCUACGGGGGAAAGCAGGGGAUCGCAAGACCUUGCACUAUUAGAGCGGCCGAUAUCGGAUUAGCUAGUUGGUGGGGUAACGGCUCACCAAGGCGACGAUCCGUAGCUGGUUUGAGAGGACGACCAGCCACACUGGGACUGAGACACGGCCCAGACUCCUACGGGAGGCAGCAGUGGGGAAUUUUGGACAAUGGGGGAAACCCUGAUCCAGCCAUCCCGCGUGUGCGAUGAAGGCCUUCGGGUUGUAAAGCACUUUUGGCAGGAAAGAAACGUCAUGGGUUAAUACCCCGUGAAACUGACGGUACCUGCAGAAUAAGCACCGGCUAACUACGUGCCAGCAGCCGCGGUAAUACGUAGGGUGCAAGCGUUAAUCGGAAUUACUGGGCGUAAAGCGUGCGCAGGCGGUUCGGAAAGAAAGAUGUGAAAUCCCAGAGCUUAACUUUGGAACUGCAUUUUUAACCACCGAGCUAGAGUGUGUCAGAGGGAGGUGGAAUUCCGCGUGUAGCAGUGAAAUGCGUAGAUAUGCGGAGGAACACCGAUGGCGAAGGCAGCCUCCUGGGAUAACACUGACGCUCAUGCACGAAAGCGUGGGGAGCAAACAGGAUUAGAUACCCUGGUAGUCCACGCCCUAAACGAUGUCAACUAGCUGUUGGGGCCUUCGGGCCUUGGUAGCGCAGCUAACGCGUGAAGUUGACCGCCUGGGGAGUACGGUCGCAAGAUUAAAACUCAAAGGAAUUGACGGGGACCCGCACAAGCGGUGGAUGAUGUGGAUUAAUUCGAUGCAACGCGAAAAACCUUACCUACCCUUGACAUGUCUGGAAUUCCGAAGAGAUUUGGAAGUGCUCGCAAGAGAACCGGAACACAGGUGCUGCAUGGCUGUCGUCAGCUCGUGUCSUGAGAUGUUGGGUUAAGUCCCGCAACGAGCGCAACCCUUGUCAUUAGUUGCUACGAAAGGGCACUCUAAUGAGACUGCCGGUGACAAACCGGAGGAAGGUGGGGAUGACGUCAAGUCCUCAUGGCCCUUAUGGGUAGGGCUUCACACGUCAUACAAUGGUACAUACAGAGGGCCGCCAACCCGCGAGGGGGAGCUAAUCCCAGAAAGUGUAUCGUAGUCCGGAUUGGAGUCUGCAACUCGACUCCAUGAAGUUGGAAUCGCUAGUAAUCGCGGAUCAGCAUGUCGCGGUGAAUACGUUCCCGGGUCUUGUACACACCGCCCGUCACACCAUGGGAGCGGGUUCUGCCAGAAGUAGGUAGCCUAACCGUAAGGAGGGCGCUUACCACGGCAGGGUUCGUGACUGGGGUGAAGUCGUAACAAGGUAGC